AUGCCAGUUCCUCAUCCUGCCAACAGUGCAGAUCAAAUGCGGCUGUUGUGCGCUGUAGGGACUGCCUCCCUUACCCUUUCCUCUGUGCAGAAUGAGUUGAGAAUUGGAAUGGUAGCUUCUUUGUUCUCCACAAUAGAGAUUCACUUGUCUCAGGUUUUGUACAACUUUUACCUCCAUCAACAGGAUUCUUCCAGGCAGCUUGUCAAAUUUCUGUUAAACAUCUUGAGUGGAAAAAUAUCGGCCAAUGCCUUCAGCUGCAGUUUCAAUGAAUGGGUUGCAGCAAGAUAAGCAGUGGAAAAGAUGUGUCAGGAGGAGUUUUUACUUGUCCAGCAUGCACUCCGGACAUGCUAGCUGUAUCUGUUGAUGGCAAUCGCAAACACUAUCGCUUUAAAAACAAAGCAAGCACAGAGAAAAGGGGAUUACUUGACCAACUUUUUAUACAGAGUGAUGUGGAGGUGUCUGAAUUUGUGGACUAUGUCCGCAAAAACAGUGAUCACGUAAGUAUUAUGAUUGGCAAAUAUUACUGUUUAACUUGAUUUCACAGCUUUUCGCAAAUAAUUUUACACAUUUCUUGAAGUAAAAUGUAUUUCUUAGAAAAAAAUUAAACAGACCCAGAAGAUAUCGAUAUGAUGCCCU
ensembl:lncRNA